AAUUAAAUAAAUCUCCGAGCAUUUCAACCUGUCAAAUUCAAUUUGUGGUUGCUGUGCCGAUAGGGUUUGAUUGGAAACAGUCAAGCCUCCUGAUGGAAAGGAGAAUAUCAUGUGCAAAA
rnacentral:ncRNA from 1 species